UAAUACGGAGGGUGCAAGCGUUAAUCGGAAUUACUGGGCGUAAAGCGCACGCAGGCGGUCUGUCAAGUCGGAUGUGAAAUCCCCGGGCUUAACCUGGGAACUGCAUUCGAAACUGGCAGGCUAGAGUCUUGUAGAGGGGGGUAGAAUUCCAGGUGUAGCGGUGAAAUGCGUAGAGAUCUGGAGGAAUACCGGUGGCGAAGGCGGCCCCCUGGACAAAGACUGACGCUCAGGUGCGAAAGCGUGGGGAGCAAACAGGAUUAGAUACCCUGGUAGUCCACGCCGUAAACGAUGUCGACUUGGAGGUUGUUCCCUUGAGGAGUGGCUUCCGGAGCUAACGCGUUAAGUCGACCGCCUGGGGAGUACGGCCGCAAGGUUA
rnacentral:rRNA from 1 species